UUGACUUGUUUGCUAGUUCACUCAGAGAUGCACCAGGAUACAGGGGAGUUUCGUACCUCCGGCGGGGGGGCGGACGCCCCUAGGGGCGGCGCCCGCCCGCCGAAGCAACGCUGACGGAUGGGUUCGCGGUGGUUUCAAGCGGCCUCUCGGCGCUCCUGUAAUGAUCCCUCCGCUGGUUCACCAACGGAGA
rnacentral:misc_RNA from 1 species